rnacentral:rRNA from 1 species
GUCUUUUUGUAAUUAAUUUAAAGUCUAGCCUGCCCAAUGAUAAUUUUAAUGGCCGCAGUAUUUUGACUGUGCAAAGGUAGCAUAAUCAUUAGUUUUUUAAUUGGAAACUGGAAUGAAAGGUUGGACGAGAAAAUAACUGUCUCUUUAUUAAUUUUUUAUAAUUUUAUUUUUAAGUUAAAAAGCUUAAAUUUUUUUAAAAGACGAGAAGACCCUAUAGAGUUUUAUUAAUUUAAUAAUAAUAUAUUAUAUAGAUUUUUUUUAUUAUUAUUAUUAUAUUAAUUUAAUUGGGGUGAUUGAAAAAUUUAAUUAACUUUUUUUUAAUAAAAACAUUAAUAUAUGAAUAAUUGAUCCAUAAAUUAUGAUUAUAAGAUUAAAUUACCUUAGGGAUAACAGCGUAAUUUCUUUUUAGAGUUCUAAUCGAUAAAGAAGUUUGUGACCUCGAUGUUGGAUUAAAAUAAAUUUUUGGUGUAGUAGCUAAAAUAUUGGGUCUGUUCGACCUUUAAAAUUUUACA